rnacentral:rRNA from 1 species
UCGAGUAGAAGAGCAGGUGAGGUUUGGGAUCGGAGGAGGAGGAGAGCGGCGGCGGCGGCGGCGGUACAGUCCCUCCUUCUUCUGGGCGCUCGGGUUCCUCCUCUUGCACUGCGAGCCGGGGCGGCAGGCGCUCCCCCUCGUGCAGAAGCCGCAGCGCGUGUAGAAGCGGAGGAAGUUGCUGUGGAAGUAGGUACAGUGCCUAGACAGGCCCUCCCUCUGCGAGCAGGCGUAGUGGCCACCGUACUUCCAGUUUCGACUAGCACUACUUAGUAGGGGAAUACGUCGAUACGAACGUAGAGUCCUACAACGACAUUCUACAUUCCUCGAACCUUAAUGACGAGACGUGUAAUUCGAGGCACGAUGACCACCUUUGUUCUGUUUUUGAGGUCCAGGACCACGAGUUCGACGCGAAUCUCGAGAACGUGCAAGACCGUACUUCUAACCUGCGUAACUCCUACAAUGGGGCCAGGGGUGACUGUCGUGGGCGGCCUUCCCACCAUCUUCUCCUUCCUCCGACAUUAAGGUACGAGCAAGUUCCUACCUUGUUAUGGUUCGAUAGCUAUAGGACGCAGAACGUUGAACAAGACAUGAUGAGGCAAAUACUACAAUUCAGUCUAGAACACCUAAAUAUCUAAAACUCUCUAUAACACAACGUACAAAUCUUUUACUGGGAAAGGGGAGAAAACUUAGUUCACCAACGGUAGAUAAUAUUGGGAAAGAAACGAUACCUAAAAAUGAAAACGCAGAACAACAACGAACAAAGUACACAGAUUUUAACUGUGUGACAACAUCGAAGACGCAGUUGAUUGGACGUCAAGCGAACGAU